rnacentral:rRNA from 1 species
AUUGAACGUUGGCGGCACGCCUAAUACAUGCAAGUCGAACGAGAAAGCACUUCGGUGCGAGUACAGUGGCGGACGGGUGAGUAACGCGUAGGAAUCUACCUAGUAGUGGGGGACAACUCGAGGAAACUCGAGCUAAUACCGCAUACGCUCUAUGGAGGAAAGUGGGGGAUCUUCGGACCUCACGCUAUUAGAGGAGCCUGCGUUAGAUUAGCUAGUUGGUGAGGUAAAGGCUCACCAAGGCUACGAUCUAUAGCUGGUCUGAGAGGACGAUCAGCCACACUGGAACUGAGACACGGUCCAGACUUCUACGGAAGGCAGCAGUCAGGAAUAUUGGGCAAUGGGCGAAAGCCUGACCCAGCGAUGCCGCGUGUGUGAAGAAGGCCCUAGGGUUGUAAAGCACUUUCAGUCGUGAAGAAAAGCAAUGGGUUAAUACCCCGUUGUGUUGACGUUAACGACAGAAGAAGUACCGGCUAACUCCGUGCCAGCAGCCGCGGUAAUACGGAGGGUACGAACGUUAAUCGGAAUUACUGGGCGUAAAGCGCGCGUAGGCGGUUUGAUAAGUGGGAUGUGAGAGCCCCGGGCUCAACCUGGGAACUGCAUUCCAAACUGUCAGACUAGAGUGUGGUAGAGGGAGGUAGAAUUUCCUGUGUAGCGGUGAAAUGCGUAGAUAUAGGAAGGAAUACCGAUGGCGAAGGCAGCCUCCUGGACCAACACUGACGCUGAGGUGCGAAAGCGUGGGUAGCGAACAGGAUUAGAUACCCUGGUAGUCCACGCCGUAAACGAUGACAACUAGCUGUUGGGAGACAAAGUCUUUCAGUGGCGCAGCUAACGCUUUAAGUUGUCCGCCUGGGGAGUACGGCCGCAAGGCUA